GGUAUAAUGGUUUGAACUGACCCUUUUCCGAAAGAAGUAGUUCCCAUAAUUAUAGCUCUUUUAUGAUCUUGUAAUGCUCCAGCUACGAUUUCUGAAGCUGAUGCUGAGCCUCCGUUGAUAAGAACUAUUACAGGAAGUCCACCAGAAAUAUCUCCUUUGGUAGCAUUAAAUUUUUGCUGUCCUCUUUUUUUUCGGCCUCUUGUGGAUACUAUCUCACCUCUUUCUAAAAAGGCAUCUGAAACUGCUAUAGCCUGGUUUAAGAGGCCUCCAGGAUUAUUUCUUA
rnacentral:ncRNA from 1 species